rnacentral:rRNA from 1 species
GAUGAACGCUGACAGAAUGCUUAACACAUGCAAGUCUUUGGCGAAGCUGUGCUUGCACAGCCUAGCCAAGGCGGACGGGUGAGUAACGCGUAAGGAACUUGCCCUGCAGUCAGGGAUAACAGACGGAAACGACUGAUAAGACCUGGUAAAGUCAGGCGGACUCAUGUCCAGCCUGAUGAAAAGUGAUGCUGCAGGAGAGCCUUGCGUCCUAUUAGCUUGUUGGUGGGGUAACGGCCCACCAAGGCGAUGAUAGGUAGCCGGCCUGAGAGGGUGGACGGCCACAAGGGGACUGAGAUACGGCCCCUACUCCUACGGGAGGCAGCAGUGGGGAAUAUUGGACAAUGGGGGCAACCCUGAUCCAGCAAUUCUGUGUGCACGAUGAAGGUUUUCGGAUUGUAAAGUGCUUUCAGCAGGGAAGAAAAAAAUGACGGUACCUGCAGAAGAAGCGACGGCUAAAUACGUG